GUGAGGAAUAUUGGUCAAUGGGCGAGAGCCUGAACCAGCCAAGUCGCGUGAAGGAUGACUGCCCUAUGGGUUGUAAACUUCUUUUGUACUGGGGUAAAAAAGAGGACGUGUCCUUUCUUGCAAGUACAGUACGAAUAAGCAUCGGCUAACUCCGUGCCAGCAGCCGCGGUAAUACGGAGGAUGCGAGCGUUAUCCGGAUUUAUUGGGUUUAAAGGGUGCGUAGGCGGGGAUUUAAGUCAGCGGUGAAAGUUUGAGGCUCAACCUUAAAAUUGCCGUUGAAACUGGGUUUCUUGAGUGUAUUUGAAGUAGGCGGAAUUCGUUGUGUAGCGGUGAAAUGCAUAGAUAUAACGAAGAACUCCAAUUGCGCAGGCAGCUUACUAAACUACAACUGACGCUGAAGCACGAAAGCGUGGGUAUCAAACAGGAUUAGAUACCCCGGUAGUCC
rnacentral:rRNA from 1 species